UAAGACAGAGGGGGCGAGCGUUGUCCGGAGUCACUGGGCGUAAAGCGCGCGCAGGCGGUGGCCUAAGUGUCGUGUGAAAGCCCCCGGCUCAACCGGGGGAGGCCAUGGCAGACUGGGCGACUGGAGCUGCGGAGAGGCCCCUCGAAUUGCCGGUGUAGCGGUGAAAUGCGUAGAGAUCGGCAGGAAGACCAAGGGGGAAGCCAGGGGGCUGGCCGCGAGCUGACGCUGAGGCGCGACAGCGUGGGGAGCCAACCGGAUUAGAUACCCGGGUAGUCCACGCCGUAAACGAUGCCGGCUCGGCGUGUGGCGCGCGCGAGCGUGCUGGGCGCCUUAGCUCACGCGGUAAGCCGGCCGCCUGGGGACUACGAGCGCAAGCUUA
rnacentral:rRNA from 1 species